AUUGAACGCUGGCGGCAUGCUUUACACAUGCAAGUCGAACGGUAACAGGCCUUCGGGUGCUGACGAGUGGCGAACGGGUGAGUAAUGCAUCGGAACGUGCCCAGAGGGGGGGGAUAACGCAGCGAAAGCUGUGCUAAUACCGCAUGUGAUCUGAGGAUGAAAGCGGGGGACCAGGCAGCAAUGUUUGGCCUCGCGCCUUUGGAGCGGCCGAUGUCAGAUUAGGUAGUUGGUGGGGUAAAGGCCUACCAAGCCGACGAUCUGUAGCUGGUCUGAGAGGACGACCAGCCACACUGGGACUGAGACACGGCCCAGACUCCUACGGGCGGCAGCAGUGGGGAAUUUUGGACAAUGGGCGCAAGCCUGAUCCAGCAAUGCCGCGUGCGGGAAGAAGGCCUUCGGGUUGUAAACCGCUUUUGUACGGAACGAAAAGGCUCUGGCUAAUACCUGGGGCUGAUGACGGUACCGUAAGAAUAAGCACCGGCUAACUACGUG
rnacentral:rRNA from 1 species